CUGGCACCUCGGUAGGUGAGGCGUCUGCAUGGAUACAGGCCACUGACCCCGAACGUCGAGAGACGCCCCGGGUCAGGACAGCUCUUCCCGGACUAAGGGUUGAGCCCAAGUGGCUUCCGGACGAGGAGCGAUCGCAAGCGCGGCGCAGCCGGGCGUGGCGGGUCGCGACCAUCGGUUAAGGCCGGAUACGCCGUGCAGUGCCGAAGCUCCGACGAGAGGGGUGCGGC
rnacentral:sRNA from 2 species